ensembl:lncRNA
GAAGAAGAAAUGAAUUGACACUGACUAAAGAGAAGAAGAAAUGAAUUGACACUGACUAAAGAGAAGAAGAAAUGAAUUGACACUGACUAAAGAGAAGAAGAAAUGAAUUGACACUGACUAAAGAGAAGAAGAAAUGAAUUGACACUGACGAAAGAGAAGAAGAAAUGAAUUGACACUGACGAAAGAGAAGAAAUGAAUUGACACUGACUAAAGAGAAGAAGAAAUGAAUUGACACUGACUAAAGAGAAGAAGAAAUGAAUUGACACUGACUAAAGAGAAGAAGAAAUGAAUUGGGACUGGAAUUUAUUGAAAUACUAAUUAAAGGUUAAACAUAUUAAAUGUUAAAGGUUGAAAACGUUGGGAGAUAUUAAAGGUGUUAAAAUAAUGCAGGUGAGGAGAGUUAUAAUGUAGUUUUCUUUAAGUUGUGAAUCAUAUAGACUGUGUUUCAUUCUGCUUAGAGGACAAGGCCUUAGGAGGUUGAUAACGAGACGUUAUAAUGGUCAAAUGUUAUAAUGUUUAAAAUAUUGAAUUAUUAAGAUAUAACUGGAGUAAUAAAUUAGGUUGUAUUAAGAUUAGAAUUGAGUAAAGAUGGUUUGAAAAAUGUAUGUUUUAAGAAGUUGAUGUUAAUGAAGUAUAUUAAAAGGUGCUAGCUUGAUCUGGAAAUCCCUUGAGGUGACCUCAUUGACAGACAUGUUCUAGAACAUUCUAGGUGGAACCCUUAAGGUGACCUCAUUGAUAGAAGUGUUCUAGAACAUUCUAGGAGGAAUCCGUUAGGUUACCUCAUUGAUAGAAGUGUUCUAGAACAUUCUAGGUGGAAUCCUUAAGGUUACCUCAUUGAUAGAAGUGUUCUAGAACAUUCUAGGUGGAAUCCUUAAGGUUACCUCAUUGGUAGAAGUGUUCUAGUAGCUGUUAGUUUUUUAGACACCAACUGAGGGACUGAGCAUCCCGAGGGGGGAGACAAAAAUCUGUUUAUAAUUUGUAGAAGGUAAGAACAUGUUUUUCUUGUUGUUAAAUACAGCUUCUCAUGAAAUUGUUAUAGUUUUUAGGUAAAGGGUUUAGGUAAAGGGAUUAGGUAAAGGGUUUAGGUAAAGGGUUUAGGUAAAGGGAUUAGGUAAAGGGUUUAGGUAAAGGGUUUAGGUAAAGACGCUGAAGGCAUCUCUCAAUUUAAUCCAAGGUACAUUUUUGCGUAUCAUCAAUUGGUGAUAUUGAUUGAUCCGUUUUUUAUGCCUUUUUUUCUGUCAUUUUGAAUAAACUUGC